GUAGGUGGCAAGCGUUGUCCGGAAUUAUUGGGCGUAAAGCGCGCGCAGGCGGUCCUUUAAGUCUGAUGUGAAAGCCCACGGCUCAACCGUGGAGGGUCAUUGGAAACUGGGGGACUUGAGUACAGAAGAGGAAAGCGGAAUUCCAAGUGUAGCGGUGAAAUGCGUAGAGAUUUGGAGGAACACCAGUCGCGAAGGCGGCUUUCUGGUCUGUAACUGACGCUGAGGCGCGAAAGCGUGGGGAGCAAACAGGAUUAGAUACCCUGGUAGUCCACGCCGUAAACGAUGAGUGCUAAGUGUUAGGGGGUUUCCCGCCCCCCUUAGUGCUGCAGCUAACGCAUUAAGCACUCCGCCUGGGGAGUACGGCCGCAAGGCUG
rnacentral:rRNA from 1 species